CAAAAAUCAUUAUCUAAAAAUAUUUAUCGCAAGCCGGACAGGAACUAUACUAUUCUGUAGCAACGAUUGAUAUAUUAGACUGGAACACAAGUCGCAGAAUUUAAACGAUCGGAUAUUUGAUUUGUGCGAUACCGCAUCACAUAGACGGUCCAUAAAACGCAUCAACAUAAUCGUCGCACACCUCCGCUUAGUCGGCGGCUCAUAAGACGAAUUUUUCAAUAUAGCCAUAUAGGUCUAAGAAUAAACUGCCUCCGUGAAAAUGUGGACUUGGUAGAAUAUAUAGCGCGAACGUGACUGCAGGAAGAAUGGUCUGAAAUCACGAACGUCGAUGAAAAUAUUGUUGUCGAAUUCAAACACGCGUUUGAAAUCGAUAUCCCGAUAUUAAAAACUUACUAUCAAAAAUGUACCAUCUUUCGGCUGGAGUUAAACCGUUUAACGAAGUGUUUUUAGUCAAGAACGAACGGGCCAACAAAAUUAACUUCCUACUCAUACGCCUAUGCAGAGA